GAUGAACGCUGGCGGCGUGCCUAAUACAUGCAAGUCGAGCGAACGGACGAGAAGCUUGCUUCUCUGAUGUUAGCGGCGGACGGGUGAGUAACACGUGGAUAACCUACCUAUAAGACUGGGAUAACUUCGGGAAACCGGAGCUAAUACCGGAUAAUAUUUUGAACCGCAUGGUUCAAAAGUGAAAGACGGUCUUGCUGUCACUUAUAGAUGGAUCCGCGCUGCAUUAGCUAGUUGGUAAGGUAACGGCUUACCAAGGCAACAAUGCAUAGCCGACCUGAGAGGGUGAUCGGCCACACUGGAACUGAGACACGGUCCAGACUCCCACGGGAGGCAGCAGUAGGGAAUCUUCCGCAAUGGGCGAAAGCCUGACGGAGCAACGCCGCGUGAGUGAUGAAGGUCUUCGGAUCGUAAAACUCUGUUAUUAGGGAAGAACAUAUGUGUAAGUAACUGUGCACAUCUUGACGGUACCUAAUCAGAAAGCCACGGCUAACUACGUG
rnacentral:rRNA from 1 species